GACGAACGCUGGCGGCGUGCUUAACACAUGCAAGUCGAACGGAAAGGCCUGUCCUUCCUUGUGUUGGACGGGUACUCGAGUGGCGAACGGGUGAGUAACACGUGAGUGAUCUGCCCCCAACUUGGGUAUAAGCCUGGGAAACUGGGUCUAAUUCCCGAUAGGACUGCAGGGUGGUGCCUGUGGUGGAAAACGAUUUUCUAGUGGUUGGGGAUGAGCUCGCGGCCUAUCAGCUUGUUGGUGGGGUAAUGGCCUACCAAGGCGGCGACGGGUAGCCGGCCUGGGAGGGUGGACGGCCACAUUGGGACUGAGAUACGGCCCAGACUCCUACGGGAGGCAGCAGUGGGGAAUAGUGCACAAUGGGCGGAAGCCUGAUGCAGCGACGCCGCGUGGGGGAUGACGGCCUUCGGGUUGUAAACUCCUUUCGACCGCGAGGAAGCCGCCUGGUUGGAAGGGUGGUGACGGUAGUGGUAGAAGAAGCACCGGCUAACUACGUG
rnacentral:rRNA from 1 species